UUUAUGGAGAGUUUGAUCCUGGCUCAGGAUGAACGCUGGCGGCGUGCCUAAUACAUGCAAGUCGAGCGAACGGACGAGAAGCUUGCUUGUCUGAUGUUAGCGGCGGACGGGUGAGUAACACGUGGAUAACCUACCUAUAAGACUGGGAUAACUUCGGGAAACCGGAGCUAAUACCGGAUAAUAUUUUGAACCGCAUGGUUCAAAAGUGAAAGACGGUCUUGCUGUCACUUAUAGAUGGAUCCGCGCUGCAUUAGCUAGUUGGUAAGGUAACGGCUUACCAAGGCAACGAUGCAUAGCCGACCUGAGAGGGUGAUCGGCCACACUGGAACUGAGACACGGUCCAGACUCCUACGGGAGGCAGCAGUAGGGAAUCUUCCGCAAUGGGCGAAAGCCUG
rnacentral:rRNA from 1 species